GACAGAGGGGGCAAGCGUUGUCCGGACUUACUGGGCGUACAGCGCGCGCAGGCGGCUCGCGACGUGCCGUGUGACAGCCGUCGGCUCAACCGGCGGAGGCCACGGUACACGAGCGAGCUGGAGGCAGAGAGAGGGAUGUGGAAUACCUGGUGGAGCGGUGAAAUGCGUAGAGAUCAGGUGGAACACCAGCGGCGAAGGCGGCAUCCUGGCUCUGUCCUGACGCUGAGGCGCGAGAGCGUGGGGAGCAAACCGG
rnacentral:rRNA from 1 species